rnacentral:rRNA from 1 species
AAACCAGCACCUCAAGUGGUCAGGAGGAUUAUUGGGCCUAAAGCAUCCGUAGCCUGCUGCAUAAGUUUUCGGUUAAAUCCAUACGCCCAACGUAUGGGCUGCCGGGAAUACUGUGCAGCUAGGGAGUGGGAGAGGUAGACGGUACUCGGUAGGAAGGGGUAAAAUCCUUUGAUCUAUCGAUGACCACCUGUGGCGAAGGCGGUCUACCAGAACACGUUCGACGGUGAGGGAUGAAAGCUGGGGGAGCAAACCGGAUUAGAUACCCGAGUAGUCC